rnacentral:rRNA from 1 species
UACAGAGGGUGCAAGCGUUGUUCGGAAUUAUUGGGCGUAAAGGGCGUGUAGGCGGCCGCGUAUGUCCGGUGUGAAAGCCCACCUCUUAAAGGUGGAAUUGCAUCGGAAACUACGUGGCUGGAGUGUCGGAGAGGAUGGUGGAAUUCCUGGUGUAGAGGUGAAAUUCGUAGAUAUCAGGAGGAACACCGGUGGCGAAGGCGGCCAUCUGGACGACUACUGACGCUGAGGCGCGAAAGCGUGGGGAUCAAACAGG